rfam:Pan troglodytes isolate Yerkes chimp pedigree #C0471 (Clint) chromosome 4, whole genome shotgun sequence.
GCUAGGCAUGGUGAUGCAUGCCUGUAGUCCUAGAUUCUUGGGAGGCUGAGGCAGGAGGAUCACUUGAGCCCAGGAAUUUGAGGCUACAGUGAGCUGUAAUUGUGCCACUGCGCUCUAGCCUGGAAAAUAGAGUGAGACCCCGUCUCAA